GGGUGGUUAGCUCAGCUGGGAGAGCAGCUGCCUUACAAGCAGCGGGUCGGCGGUUCGAUCCCGUCACCACCCA
rfam:Pseudomonas hussainii strain JCM 19513 genome assembly, contig: Ga0104663_111